GGUUAACAAAUCAGGCAUUGCAGCUGAAAAAGAUCUUCAAGACUCUUGUUCAAGUCAAACAGCAAUUGCUGCCAGAACUGACAUCUUGAAAGUAGGAAAAGAAAGGCUCAAGAGCCUACUCUACUAAAGUGCUACCUGCUUAGGAGUGAAUAAUGUUUGACCCUUGAAAUUGAUGAGUAUUUCCCAGGACAGGACAGACGAAUCUCUAACAGGCAAGAGACAGAG